AUUUUAAGCUCACAUGCCCCAGUGGGUGCCAAAGCCACUUCAGAGAGGCUGAAAGAUGGCUGAGUCGACAGGAUUUGACUUCCAGAGGUAGAAAGCAGCUGAGCUUUAAUUUCAACAUUCCUGCAGAAUGCUCUGGAAAGUCUGGGCCAGCCACGUGCAAAACUAUGUCCCAGAGUUGAGCAGUGAUGAAACCAGCUUUUCUGCGAUGGGGAAGGAGGGAAACCUCAAAGUACAACCAAAGAGCAGCAGCAGGGUAUGGUGAGAAGCCAACACUGGUGGUGCAAAAACCAUCCUGCGGAUCUUCUGCUUGUCCUUCAGAUACCAAAGAGUCAAAGACAACAAGAGCUGGGGCCAUCCUAAGUACCGUGAGUAGAUUGCAAAAUGAUAUUUUGUUACAGGAAAAAGGGAAGUGUAGCCAAUAACCGGCCCCUCCAAAUCACCUCUCUGUUUUUUUGUUUUUUUUUUUUCCUGAUUAUGUGAAUUGCCCUUAAUUGCUAUGAAGAACGUAAUAAAUAUUUUGUUCUUCCGAAAAGUUGUUGUUCA
rnacentral:lncRNA from 1 species